rnacentral:misc_RNA from 1 species
UUGAUUGAUUGUAUAUCAAACUCUGAAGAGUCCACUAUGGAUAAAUAGUUUGGGGCCCUCGGCGGGCGCCCGGGGUGUGCACGGCACGCCCCGGGGGGGUCCCGCCGAAGCAACGGUGGUAUGUUCACAAAGGUUUGGAGUUCGGAGACUCUGUAAUGAUCCCUCCGCUGGUUCACCAACGGAGA